rnacentral:misc_RNA from 1 species
GGAAGUAAAAAUCGUAACAAGGUUUCCGUAGGUGAACCUGCGGAAGGAUCAUUAACAAAUCCAUGUUGUUGUUGUGUUGAUUGCUUUUGUUGAUGUGCACAUCAUGUUUGUUCAGAUUCUGUUCAAAUAUGCGUGUACAUUAAUGAUGCAUUCAUUACAAACAAACACAUUAGUUCCAUAUAUGUGUACGCAUUCAUUUUGUGUGCACAUAUUGUGAUACAUUUCUACGAAUCGUCUGAUUUAUUCAUUUCAAAUCAUAUUAAACAAUAACUUUUAACAAUGGAUCUCUAGGCUCUU